GUGUCAGCAGCCGCGGUAAGACGUAGGAGGCGAGCGUUAUCCGGAUUCACUGGGCGUAAAGCGCAUGUAGGCGGCUGGACAAGUCGUGUGUUAAAGCCCCUGGCUCAACUGGGGGAGGUCAUGCGAGACUGUUCGGCUGGAGGGCAACAGAGGCACGUGGAACUCCCGGUGUAGCGGUGGAAUGCGUAGAGAUCGGGAAGAACACCAGUGGCGAAGGCGACGUGCUGGGUUGCACCUGACGCUGAGAUGCGAAAGUGUGGGGAGCAAACGGGAUUAGAAACCCCAGUAGUCC
rnacentral:rRNA from 1 species